GCUUAAAAGAAAGCCCGUUGCCUCAUUUAGAUCAAGUCAGAGUCGGGAGGCAGUGAGCAGCACUCUUUUGGAGGAGUUUCUAUCCCAUAGCAGUUUCUGUUUGCUGAACCAAAGGAUUCACUUCUUCAGUCGCUCACCGAGACUCUUACUCCAAGAUCCCAGAAUCGGUCUGUCCUCCUGUCUCUGGGCUUUCCCUGGCACUGUUCAAAGCCAUCAAUUUUUGAAAGCUAUUGUCCACCGUCAUAUUGUUCUGAAGAUCACAACAG